rnacentral:miRNA from 1 species
CCUGGUUCAAGUAAUCCAGGAUAGGCUGG